UCUAUGAAGUCUUUAUGGGUAUCUGGGUCCUGGUGGACUUUGUGGGAUUUGGCAGUUGGAAUGGGAGGAAGAGGUUUCGGAUCUUACUAUGCAGAGUGUGUUUCCAGCAACCUGCACAGCCGGCUCCUGAUGGACCAGGCAUGUAUGAAGAAGAAGUUGGUCACAUUGAAGCAGGAGAGCAAGGAGUUACAGCGAUAUUUGUUUGAGUUGAACCCGAAUGCUGAAGACGAACAGGAGAAGACCAGCAACCUCCAGACCCAGCAAAAUGUGGUCUCAGGAACUGCAGGAGACAUGGAAUAGGACAGAUCCCAAGAAGACAGCCCCCUGAAGAGUGAGUUUCUCUGUCAGGAGUUCCCUGCUGACGACAAUCCUCAACAGUCAAAGACUUUUUUGGGGAGAAUAUUCUUCUUCUCAGUUAAUUUCCUCAUUGUAUAGAGACCCUAAAUUUAUGUAUCCGUAUGCCAGCCUGUCUCAUUGAGGUCUUUCUCCUCUCUCAUACCGACAACACCAUUUGAGAGACAUCUGAGGGGACUGCCUUGACAUCUCGUGUCCUAGAGGAGAAACAGCACUACAACUGUGUUUCUAAAUGUUCAUUAAGAAAAUGCUGUUAAGAAAUAUUUUUGGUUAUGAUUUUCAUUGAAGUUUUCUUUUUGUUAUAUCAUAGUUAUAUAUUCUUGUUACUGUUUUUCAUUUUUUAUACCAUUUUAGUUGUUCAUUUUAUGCC
ensembl:lncRNA